UAAAUUUUACGAAUAUUUAAAAUCAGAAAAAGUACAAUAGUGAUAGUAUCAUUUUGUUGACGGAUAUUUGUUUAAGCAUUUUAGCUCAUAUUUUGAAAUAUUAGUUUAUUUUCGAAUUAAUUAUUUUACUUUGUUAGUCUUAAGAAGCUUGUUAAUUUUGGUUAAUUCGUCUUAUUUAAUCAAAUUGACCGUCUACAAUUUUAUUUUGACUAAAAUGGCAGCAUUUAAGCUAAAAGACUAAAUUUGGGCCUCCCAUAGAUUUUCCGCAGCCCAAAUCUCUAUCCCCAGCCCAAUUCCCUCACAAUCCAACUAAAAUAUAAAAAUCCAGCUCACCUUUUCCUUCUUCUAGCCCAACCCUUUUACUCCCAUUCAGCUAAGCCCAACAGCGCAACCUGACCCAUCCGCCUCUUCUUCCAUUUUAACGUGUGAGAAACGCGUGACGAGACAACUAUUCGCCCCAUCAUCACGACGUUUUGCUAGACGACAAUGUCAAAGGCUAUGCGAGAGAGAAGCUCUAGAUGAUGUUGAUACACGGCGUCAACGUGAAAGCUGCUAUCGUCCCUCUCUCUUCGUUCCGUCUUCUGUAUCAACUUUGGGCGAAUCUCUGCAUAUUUUGUACGUUUUCAGCAAGAAAUGUGUCUUUCGCAGGAGAGGUGGAGUGAUCUCCGAAAUUUGUUGUCCUUCGCUCAAGAUCGGACGGUUCUCGUCCCUUUCCAUUGGGAAAUUGUACACGGUUCAUACAAAAUUCCAGCCUGCUCGUCGUGGCCAGGGAUUUAAAUUUCGAAAUGGCACAUGGAAUCCAUUGCCCAAAACUUGUCAAGAAUUUUCCACGCUAUCCCUAUCUGAGCCCUAAUUUUUCCUCCUAUAAAUAUCCCUUUCUCCACCUUGUUGAGAGGUUGGGGAAAAUUUGGGGUCAGGAUUUUGUGGAAGUAUCUGAAAUUUUUUGUUCGAGCUGCUCCUUCUAGUCCAAAAUACAGAGAGGCAUUUCAAAGUUUAGCUAAAAAAAACUUUUUUACAGAAGUCUUGUGAAACUUGUUCUUCAUUUAGCAGCAUAGUUCAAGAGUCGAAAGACAAAUAUUUUCGGGGUUACUUGGAUUUUUUAUGUUCGUGUUCAAACUUAGUGGUGGGAAAGAUCGUCGCUCUGUUCGUGUCGUCCAUGUUCGCUGCACCUCCGAAGGUACAAAAGAAAAGUGGCUUGAAAACUCAAAAAGUCGAACGGAUCAAAAUCAAAAACAGGAGGGCCCAAAUACCGGUCCAGGCAGACAGAUAACCCGGGUUGGACCCAAUCUCUCCCUCUCUCUCUCUCCCUAUCUACCUCCCUUUGUAUUAUCGUCUAUUUGCUUAUAUAUAUGUGCUAUUAUAUUUAAAGUUAAAAGAAUUCAAUCCCCGUA